rnacentral:rRNA from 1 species
UGAGUACGAGACGCUACGGCGUCGAAGCAGUCUAUGUCAUACUUCCAAGAAAAGCUUGCACUGUCAUAAAUAAAUAAUGCCUGUACCAUAACCGACACAGGUGGGUAGGUAGAGUAUACUAAGGGGCGCGAGAUAACUCUCUCUAAGGAACUCGGCAAAAUGACUCCGUAACUUCGGGAGAAGGAGUGCCUUAUUUUUAAGGUUGCAAUAACAAGACCCAAGCAACUGUUUAUCAAAAACACAAGUCUCCGCUAAGUCGUAAGACGAUGUAUGGGGGCUGACGCCUGCCCAGUGCCAGAAGGUUAAAGAAGUUGGUUAGCAUUAGCGAAGCUGAUAACUGAAGCCCUGGUGAACGGCGGCCGUAACGAUAACGGUCCUAAGGUAGCGAAAUUCCUUGUCAGGUAAGUUCCGACCCGCACGAAAGGCGUAAUGAUUUGGGUACUGUCUCGGAGAGGGGCUCGGUGAAAUGGACUUGUCUGUGAAGAUGCGGACUACCUGCACCUGGACAGAAAGACCCUAUGAAGCUUUACUGUAACUUGAGAUUGAAAUUGGACUUCAUUCGUGCAGCAUAGGUGGGAGGCAAUGAGAGUAUUCUUGCGGGAAUAUUGGAGCCAUUAGUGAGAUACCACUCUUGUAAUAUUAGAUUUCUAACUUUGUAUCAUUAUCUGGCCAAAGGACAGUUUCAGGCGGGCAGUUUGACUGGGGCGGUCGCCUCCCAAACGGUAACGGAGGCGCACAAAGGUUUCCUCUGAACGGGUAGAAAUCGUAUCUAGAGUGUAAAGGCAUAAGGAAGCUUGACUGUGAGACCUACAAGUCGAGCAGGGACGAAAGUCGGUCUUAGUGAUCUGACGGUGCUGAGUGGAAAGGCCGUCACUCAACGGAUAAAAGUUACUCUAAGGACAACAGGCUGAUCUCCCCCAAGAGUUCACAUCGACGGGGAGGUUUGGCACCUCGAUGUCGGCUCAUCGCAUCCUGGGGCGGUAGUACGUCCCAAGGGUUGGGCUGUUCGCCCAUGAAAGCGGUACGCGAGCUGGGUUCAGAACGUCGUGAGACAGUUCGGUCCAUAUCCGGUGUAGGCGUUAGAAUAUUGAGAGGAUCCUUCUUUAGUACGAGAGGACCGAGAAGGACAUACCUCUGGUGUACCAGUUAUCGUGCCUACGGUAAACGCUGGGUAGCUAUGUAUGGAGAGGAUAACCGCUGAAAGCAUCUAAGUGGGAAGCCCACCUCAAGAUAAGUAUUCUCA